GCAAGUCGAACGAAAAGUUACCUUCGGGUAGCGGAUUCGUGGCGGACGGGUGAGUAAUACAUAGAAAUCUACCGAGCAGUAGGGGAUAACAGUUGGAAACGACUGAUAAUACCGCAUACGCCAUAUUGGGAAAACUAAGGUGCUGUUCGAUGAGUCUAUGCUGGAUUAGCUAGUUGGUGGGGUAAAAGCCUACCAAGGCGACGAUCCCUAGCUGGUCUGAGAGGAUGAUC
rnacentral:rRNA from 1 species